UUCUUUACUUCCUCUUGUUUCCUUCUAAUCAUCACCAGCUAUCUCCGAAGGUAUCUAUCUCCCUGGUAUUUUGUUUUUGCAAUGUUUUGACCACGGGCAAAAAGUUCGCUCGUUCUCGUGCUAGUAUCAUCGCCCCUUCUGAUAAUGACUUCAUCGAUCAAAAGAUCUUGGCCUAUAAUGAUACUUGCUCCUUUGAUGAUGAGGAUAUCGUGUCCCUAAGAGCUAACGAUGAUUUUCCCACAGAUACAAUUUGUAAGACAUAUGAUGCUUUGAUUCAGUCGCACUUUGUUUCCCUGUAUUAUGUAUGUUUCCUUGAAUACUCUUUUUCUUUGUGUUUGAAAUACCCUUUCCCUGGAUCAUUUGGGAGUUUUAAAAAAAAUUAUUUUUUUUUGAAAUCACUAAGAUCUCGUAUAUCCAGGCUAUGCCUGUUAUCUGGAGAAUAUUAUUGUGGAUCAACCAGUUGAACCAAUCCAAUGAUAUGGGUUUACGCUUAGCUAAACUGGCUCAUGUUUAUGAUCUUUCAAUCUUUGCGAACUCCUUUUUUCUGCUGAAGGUUAAAACCUAUAAAUAUCCUCUUGUUCUGAAAUAAAAACAUGUGAGCCAUGACUCUAUUCUUGGCGGGGAUCUCCUGCCAAAAACUUGGGUUAAAGAGGGUAGGAUUUACUUGUUACUUCUAAGGAUACUAAGAUUCACUUUCUUAUUUAGUUUAUUGUGAUUCAACAUUCAAGUUUGAAGAAUUUUCUCCUGCUACUGAGGAUACCGAAGAAAAAGUUACAAAAUUUCUUAGUUUUCCUAUGGCUGAUAAGUCUUUCAAUCUUGAACACUCCAGUCUUCAAGCUUCAAUGGCUAUCGUGGUAUGAUCAUGGUUAAGAAGGAAAAAGUUCCCUCCCCUCUUCCUCCUAAGAGGGUGCAAGUUGAUAUCAAUAUAAAGACCUCUAGUUCCCAGAAGAGGAAAACUUUUAAGGCCACAGAUCUGAGCCUAGGAAAUCUAGGAGCCAAGGAGGCACUCAGGAAGCUAGUCUCUUUUUCUCAACCUGUCACCAACGACAUUUCUUGGUCUACUGUUGAUUUGAAGGUCAAGGCUGAGAAGGCCGAGCUAGCCUCAAAGGAGCAGGUGAGGGUAUGUAUGGCCAACAAUGAGGAUCUCCUAAUGAGGGUGGCGCCACUGAGCAAAUAGAAGGCUACAAAAGAGGCAGAGCAUGUAACAGAGAUUACAGAGGUGAUUCCUAAGGUGAAGGGUAACGCUGUUGUCCCCGUUUAGGAAGUGAAGAUCGAACUUGCGGAGGAUGUGGCUAAUGCGGGGUCCUAGAAUGUUGCUGGUUGGCAUGAAGCCCUAGCAAAAUUAAAUGGCGAGCCUAUUUACACCAAUCAGGAUCCUACAGGGCAACUAAAGGUGGGAGGAAGGGAGAAAGAAGUAAAGAAGGUUUCAGGUCAUGGAAAUCAGGCCAUAAUUUAUGUUUGAUUUAAAAAACACUUAGAAUGCUUUUUUUUGGGUUGUAAGAUAUUUUUUUAUUCUUUUUUGGUGAGGUUGGUGGGCAACCGCUUUUAUAUGAUGCUGUGAUUAUUUAUA